CAGUCCCUGGGGCUGGGACCUGGAAGUGUGCAUCUCCCUUCCCCACUCCUCUUCACUUUCUGCUUCUUGGCCCAUGACAUGAACAGCCUUCCUCAGUCUGGACCCUCCUGCCAUGCUGUUUCUUGUUUUGAGCCUGCUGAACAUGGACUGAAACUCCUGAACUGUGAGCCAAAAGAAAUCUCUCGCUGACUUUCAGUUGCAAGUGUUGGGUGUUUUGUCGCAGCAAGAAGGAAAGCGACUGAGACAGCAUGUACACAUACACGUACAAUAUGUAAGGCAUAUGCAGAUGGCACACUGGUCCAUCAUGGUGGACCUGUGAGAUUCAUUAUUAGUCACUUUCCUCCAUGGAUGACAGUAUCUUACCUGGCCUCCUAUCUGGAUGACCACCUCUGUGGUAGAUGCUUUGGAUUAAAGAGGCAAUGAAAUCACAGAAUGAGAGCAUCUCCUCAUGAAGGCAAGUGCUCUGUAUAAAAAAUGAAUUUGUUUUCAUAAGCAUUUUAGAGACAUGAUAAUGUUUUCGG
rnacentral:lncRNA from 1 species